UGCUGUCAGCUGUUCUGAGUUGCUUUUAGCACGCCGAGUGUCAGU
rnacentral:miRNA from 1 species